rnacentral:rRNA from 2 species
GGGAAACACCCGUUCCCAUCCCGAACACGGAAGUUAAGCCCUCCAGCGCCGAUGGUAGUUGGGGCCAGCGCCCCUGCAAGAGUAGGUCGCUGCUAGGC